rnacentral:rRNA from 1 species
GAUCAUGGCUCAGGAUGAACGCUAGCUACAGGCUUAACACAUGCAAGUCGAGGGGCAUCAGAAAGAAAGCUUGCUUUCUUUGCUGGCGACCGGCGCACGGGUGAGUAACACGUAUCCAACCUGCCCUUUACUCGGGGAUAGCCUUUCGAAAGAAAGAUUAAUACCCGAUGGGAUAAUGAUUCCGCAUGGUUUCAUUAUUAAAGGAUUCCGGUAAAGGAUGGGGAUGCGUUCCAUUAGGUUGUUGGUGAGG